rnacentral:rRNA from 1 species
UUCGCUCGAGCAGUCUGGGCCAUGGUCCAAGUUGCUUCGAAUUUAUACCCACCACUUAGUGCACAGAAUAUAUUCGGUAACUGGUUGCGGGGUAUUGAUAAACAAUUUUCUGCACAUAUUCUUGUGGGAACGGCAGCCUUAUGCUGGGCAUUGUGGCUUACCAGGAAUGAUGUGGUUUUUAAUAAUAAAUGUGUCUCAUCCCCUACGCAGGUUAUUCAUGUUUGUACACGAUGGCUCCGUACGUGGUCUAUCCUGCAGAAGCCGGAGGAUAUGCACCUUUUUAUGAUGGCGCCUACACGGCUGGAGCGUACGGCGAGGGAGGUUUUCUACCCCCAUUGA